rnacentral:rRNA from 1 species
GAGGAUCAUUCGCAAUGGGGGAAACCCUGACGAUGCGACGCUGCGUGGAGGAUGAAGGCCUUCGGGUUGUAAACUCCUGUCAUGAGGGAAGAGGAGAGUGUCACUAACAUUGACGCGAUUUGACGGUACCUCAAGAGGAAGCCACGGCUAACUCUGUGCCAGCAGCAGCGGUAAUACAGAGGUGGCGAGCGUUGUUCGGAUUUACUGGGCGUAAAGGGCGCGUAGGCUGCGAUGUGUGUCGGGUGUGAAAUCCCAGGGCCCAACCCUGGAAGUGCGCCCGAAACUGCAUCGCUCGAGUGCGGGAGGGGAGAUCGGAAUACAUGGUGUAGCGGUGAAAUGCGUUGAUAUCAUGUAGAACACCGGUGGCGAAGGCGGAUCUCUGGAACGCAACUGACGCUGAGGCGCGAAAGUCGGGGAGCAAACA